GUACAUGCAAUCUUUCUUUUCAUGUUAAUUUUAACUCAAUAAAGCUUAUGUGUUUAUCCUAUCAUGUAGGUGGCCUGCACAUCUUUAUAUCUGAUAGUUGGCUGCAUAGUUGUGGAACUCUAAAAUUUACAAUAUUUAAAGCUGCUUUAUUCAAAGACCAAUCUGAAUGCCAUUAUCUCAAAAUGGAUGAUCCUUUGUUGUCUAAUAUAUGGGGCAUGCCUUGUGUACAUGCCAUUGCCAUUGCCAUUGCUCGUUACUAUGCUCUUCUCCAUUCCUAGUAUAUGUUUGUUUGCUCAUUAAGUUAAUUGCAGACUGAACUUUAUGGAAGGGCUGCUUUGCAGUGGUCAAUCUGUCUUGAUUCAUUCUGCAAUUUUACUGAAAUUCUACUCACUGCAAUUACUGAACUAGUGUGUUUUUUUACUUGCAGUGCUGAUGUCAAAGAAGAAAUUUUGUGCUGAGAAUUGAGGAAUUAGGAAGUAGUUUAGUAAUGGAGCCUGAAAUGCUAUUGUCCAGUUUUUAGGGAGCUAUCUGAAUUUGUGGCCAGGUGGUCUGCAGCAUAUGCUACUACACGAUAGCUGUUCUUUUGGUGUGAACUGAUGCCAGUCUGAGUCUGAUAUUUGUGUGGACUGAUCCCAGUCUGAAUAUUUGUGUGAACGGUGUGAGAAUUUGUUAUCUGUGUAUUUAUUAUCUAUUAACUAAAAACAAGUGUCCAAUUAGAGCAGCAUGUUCAAGGAGGGUGAUGACUUUAUUAUUA